CCUACGGGAGGCUGCAGUGCGGAAUAUUGGUCAAUGGACGCAAGUCUGAACCAGCCACGUAGCGUGCAGGAUGACGGCCCUCCGGGUUGUAAACUGCUUUUAGUUGGGAAUAAAAGGGGGCUCGUGAGCCCCGUAUUGUAUGUACCAUCAGAAAAAGAACCGGCUAAUUCCGUGCCAGCAGCCGCGGUACUACGGAAGUUCCGGGCGUUAUCCGGAUUUAUUGGGUUUAAAGGGACCGUAGGCCGGCUUUUAAGUAGGCUGUGAAAGCCCGCGGCUCAACCGUGGAAUUGCAUUUGAAACUGGAGGCCUUGAGUGCACACAGGGAUGCUGGAAUUCAUGGUGUAGCGGUGAAAUGCGUAGAGAUCAUGAAGAACACCGAUCGCGAAGGCAAGUGUCCGGGGUGCAACUGACGCUGAGGCUCGAAAGUGUGGGUAUCAAACAGGAUUAGAUACCCCAGUAGUC
rnacentral:rRNA from 1 species